rnacentral:rRNA from 1 species
UACGUAGGGUGCGAGCGUUGUCCGGAAUUAUUGGGCGUAAAGAGCUCGUAGGCGGCUUGUCGCGUCGACCGUGAAAACCCGCAGCUCAACUGCGGGCUUGCGGUCGAUACGGGCAGGCUCGAGUUCGGUAGGGGAGACUGGAAUUCCUGGAGUAGCGGUGGAAUGCGCAGAUAUCAGGAGGAACACCGGUGGCGAAGGCGGGUCUCUGGGCAGUAACUGACGCUGAGGAGCGAAAGCGUGGGGAGCGAACAGG